UAAUUUAAAUUAAUAAAAUAAAUUAUUAAAUCAUUUUCAAAUUUUUUUAAAACUUUGUAAAUUUGAUUUAUGUUUUAAAUUAAAAAUUUU
rnacentral:miRNA from 1 species